GGGGAAACUUACCGGGUCCGGACACACUGAGGAUUGACAGGCGUUUACUGUGUUUUGGGAUUUCGUGGCACCUUCGGGUGUUGUGUUAUGUUCAUUUCCAGUAUAGCAAAUAUGCUAGUCCUUUCAUGAUUGUGUGAUAGGUGGUGCAUGGCCGUUCUUAGUUCGUGGAGUGAUCUGUCUGCUUAAUUGCGUUUCACAUUAAGAACGAAAGAGUCCCGCCUGUGUUUGUGGUACGCCACGAAUACGGCUUUUAUGUGGAUUUCUACAACGUUCUGAAGGCAACGA
rnacentral:rRNA from 1 species